rnacentral:misc_RNA from 1 species
GACCAAUGGAGCCUCAGGAGAAUCACUUACUGCGAACUUGUCAUGCAUGAAACGACUGUCAACAAUAGAGUCAUCCUUGAGGACUAUCUUAUAGCAGUAACAGCUCUUCAGGCCAUCCUGAUUUCGGUAGCACUCAUGUGCGCCAUUUUUCACCUGCUGGAAAUUCCAAAUCACACUAAACCUGCCCACUGUAGCAACCAAAUGGCGCUCCUGCUUCCCAUUCUCUGUGACCCACGAAAAUUGAGCAUUGCGGAACUUAUUAUUAAUACCAGCUAAAUGUGAAUCUAAAGGAGUUAACUUCAACAAUCUGGGUGC